rnacentral:sRNA from 1 species
GCUGGGGGCGCGGUGGCGCACGUCUGUAAUCCCAGCUACCCGGGAGGCUCAGGCAGGAGGAUCGCAAGUUCGAGGGCAGCCUCAGCAAUUUAGCAAGACCCGGUCUCAA